rnacentral:lncRNA from 1 species
AGGGAGUGUUUGGAGGGGUUGGGACAUAAGGUUGGUUGCCAGGGGAAGGUGUUUUUGGAGGAGUGGGAACAUUUGGAGGACUAUAAGAAGGAGACGGUGUUUUUGGAGGCGUUGGAAUAUAGGGUGGUUGGUUACGAGGAGAAGGAGCAUUUGGAGGACUAUAAGCUGGAGAAGGUGUUUUUGGAGGAGUGGGAACAUUUGGAGGACUAUAAGAAGGAGAAGGUGUUUUUGGAGGUGUAGGAACAUAGGGUGGAUGGUUACCCGGGGAAGGAGCUAUUGGGGGGGCGUAAAUAGGAGAAGGUGUUUUGGGAGGUGUUGGAACAUUAGGAGGAGUAUAAACAGGGGAAGGAGUUUGUGGAGGAGUUGGAAUAAAUGGAGGAUGAUUAGUAGGUGAAGGUGCUUUAGGAGGAACAUAGGGAGGACUGUGAAUAGGAGAAGGUGUUUUUGGAGGGGUUGGAACAUAAGGUGGAUAAGGAAUUUUUGGAGGAGUUUGAGGAGGUGUUGGAACAUAAGGUGCUUUUGGAGGAGUAAUUGGAACAUAGGGAGUGUUUGGAG